rnacentral:rRNA from 1 species
CCUACGGGAGGCAGCAGUGGGGAAUAUUGCACAAUGGGGGAAACCCUGAUGCAGCAACGCCGCGUGAGUGAAGAAGUAUCUCCGGAUGGAAAGCUCUAUCAGCAGGGGAGAAGAAUGACGGUAUCUGACUACGAAGCACCGGCUAACUACGUGCCAGCAGCCGCGGUAAUACGUAGGGGGCAAGCGUUAUCCGGAUUUACUGGGUGUAACGGGAGCGUAGACGGCUGUGCAAGUCUGAAGUGAAAGCCCGUGGCUCAACCGCGGAACUGCAGUGGAAACUGUAAGGCUUGAGUACUGGAGAGGCAGGCGGAAUUCGUGGUGUAGCGGUGAAAUGCGUAGAUAUUAGGAGGAACACCAGUGGCGAAGGCGGCCUGCUGGACAGAAACUGACGUUGAGGCUCGAAAGCGUGGGGAGCAAACGGGAUUAGAUACCCCAGUAGUC